UGGCUCAGAAUGAACGCUGGGGGUAUGCAUAACACCUAGCGAGUCAACAAGUUGUGGCGAACGGGUGAGUAUUACAGGCAUCUUUGCCCAACAAUUCAGAAUAAAUUCUGUAAAAGAUUGAUCGUUGUUGGAUAGGUCUGUGUAGGAUUAGAUAGUCGUAGAGAGUCGAUGAUCCUUAGCUGAUCUGGGAAGGAUGCACAGUCACAUUGGAACUGAGACAAGGUCCAAGCUCCAAAGGAGGCAGCAGUGAGGAAUAUUGGGCAAUGGGCGAAAGCCUGACCCAACAAUACCCCGUGAUUGAAGAAGGCUACGGUCGUAAAGAUAUGACAUUAGUGAAGAUAAUGACGUUAAUUAAUCGAAAAGCCCCGGAUAACUCCGUGCCAGAAGCCGCGGUAAUACGGGGGGGGCAA
rnacentral:rRNA from 1 species